UGCGGGAAUAGCUCAGUUGGUAGAGCACGACCUUGCCAAGGUCGGGGUCGCGAGUUCGAGCCUCGUUUCCCGNNN
rnacentral:tRNA from 1 species